rnacentral:rRNA from 1 species
AUUGAACGCUGGCGGCAUGCCUUACACAUGCAAGUCGAACGGUAACAGGUCUUCGGAUGCUGACGAGUGGCGAACGGGUGAGUAAUACAUCGGAACGUGCCCGAUCGUGGGGGAUAACGAGGCGAAAGCUUUGCUAAUACCGCAUACGAUCUACGGAUGAAAGCGGGGGAUCUUCGGACCUCGCGCGGACGGAGCGGCCGAUGGCAGAUUAGGUAGUUGGUGGGAUAAAAGCUUACCAAGCCGACGAUCUGUAGCUGGUCUGAGAGGAUGAUCAGCCACACUGGGACUGAGACACGGCCCAGACUCCUACGGGAGGCAGCAGUGGGGAAUUUUGGACAAUGGGCGAAAGCCUGAUCCGGCCAUGCCGCGUGCAGGAUGAAGGCCUUCGGGCUGUAAACUGCUUUUGUACGGAACGAAAAGCCUCUUUCUAAUAAAGAGGGGUCAUGACGGUACCGUAAGAAUAAGCACCGGCUAACUACGUG